rnacentral:misc_RNA from 1 species
UUUCCGUAGGCGAACCUGCGGAAGGAUCAUUACUGAGUGAGGGCCCUCUGGGUCCAACCUCCCACCCGUGUUUAUUGUACCUUGUUGCUUCGGUGCGCCCGCCUCACGGCCGCCGGGGGGCUUCUGCCCCCGGGUCCGCGCGCACCGGAGACACCAUUGAACUCUGUCUGAAGAUUGCAGUCUGAGCAUAAACUAAAUAAGUUAAAACUUUCAACAACGGAUCUCUUGGUUCCG